rnacentral:rRNA from 1 species
GAAUAUGGCUAUGCUACCCUGAACGAGCCCAAUCCUGUCUGAUCUUGGAAGCUAAGCAGGGUUGGCCCUGGUUAGUACUUGGAUGGGAGACCACCUAGGAAGACCAGGUGCUACAGGCA